rnacentral:rRNA from 1 species
CCUACGGGAGGCAGCAGUGGGGAAUAUUGGACAAUGGGGGCAACCCUGAUCCAGCAAUUCUGUGUGCACGAGGAAGGUUUUCGGAUUGUAAAGUGCUUUCAGCAGGGAAGAAGGAAGUGACGGUACCUGCAGAAGAAGCGACGGCUAAAUACGUGCCAGCAGUCGCGGUAAUACGUAUGUCGCAAGCGUUAUCCGGAAUUAUUGGGCAUAAAGGGCAUCUAGGCGGCCAGGCAAGUCUGGGGUGAAAACUUGCGGCUCAACCGCAAGCCUGCCCUGGAAACUGCCUGGCUAGAGUGCUGGAGAGGUGGACGGAACUGCACGAGUAGAGGUGAAAUUCGUAGAUAUGUGCAGGAAUGCCGAUGAUGAAGAUAGUUCACUGGACGGCAACUGACGCUGAAGUGCGAAAGCUGGGGGAGCGAACAGGAUUAGAUACCCUGGUAGUCCCAGCCGUAAACGAUGAUUACUGGGUGUGGGCAUGAAGAGUGUCCGUGCCGAAGCAAAUGCGAUAAGUAAUCCGCCUGGGGAGUACGGCCGCAAGGCUGAAACUCAAAGGAAUUGACGG